rnacentral:misc_RNA from 1 species
GUACCAUAUGAUACGACUUAGGUAAUGGUAGAAGAAAUCCAUUAGGUGGAGGUCUACUGAAAACUCCUCCAACAUGUCCUGUCUUUAACUGCCUGAAUAAUUCCUAGAUGUUAAUGCUAAAACAAAAGGUCUAACACGUGCUAGAGUUUCUUUGAAACAUUCGUCCAAUUUCAUAGCUUCUUCCUCAUUAUACUCUCUAAUUUUUGGCAUAUUCUUUUAUAUCUGCCACUAUUUCACUUGCUUGGCCAAAGGUAAUAUUUCAGAAAAAUUAGAGCAAGACAUUUUUUGACAAGUCUUUGCCUUUUAACUGAACGCCGCUUUUGUUUUUAACUGGAUUAUGGAUACAAAUCCGCAGUGGCCAUGGAUCGUAGAAAAAGGUGAAAAAUGAACGCAAAAUAUUUUUUUUCUUUUUCAUAAUUGAGAUUAUUUCAAAAGUAAUUUGAGUCGUACAAAACAAAAUCACAUGUUACGUGAUUAUUACGUACACACAUAUAAGUAUUUAGUCAUAUCCAUUAUUAGUUAUUAUUAUUU